rnacentral:lncRNA from 1 species
CUCCGGGCUGCGCCGGGCCUGCCCUGCCCCCGGUGCCGCCUGAGGAGGGAAACACGCCCCGGCCAGUCCGCGGUCCGAGAAUCUGCCCCCUCUUUAUGGAGCCUGUUGCUGGGACUCCCCCCUCUCUGUCCCCCUCUGCCCACCCCCCAUCCAUCCGUCCUUCUUCCUUUCUGUCUAUUCUCUUCCCCCUCUGUCCAUCCCCCUCUAUCCCUUCUCCCCCUCUAUCCAUCCUCCCCCUCUGCCCACCCCCAUCCAUCCAUCCUUCCUUGCUAUCCAUCCUCUUCCCCCUCUGUCCAUCCCCCUCUAUCCCUCCUCCCCCUCUGCCCACCCUCCAUCCAUCCAUCCAUCCUUCCUUUCUAUCCAUCCCCCUCUGUCCCUUCUCCCCCUCUGCCCACCCCCCAUCCAUCCGUCCUUCUUCCUUUCUGUCCAUCCUCCCCCUCUGCCCAUCCUCCAUCCAUCCAUCCUUCUUUUCUAUCCAUCCUCUUCCCCUCUGUCCAUCCCCCUCUGUUCCUCCUCCCCCUCUGUCCAUCCUCCCCCUCUGCCCACUCUCCAUCCAUCCAUCCUUCUUUUCUAUCCAUCCUCUUCCCCCUCUCUCCAUCCCCCUCUUCCUCCUCCCCCUCUCUCCAUCCUCCCCCUCUGCCCACCCUCUUUCUAUCCAUCCUCUUCCCCCUCUGUCCAUCCCCCUCUGUCCCUCCUCCCCGUCUGUCCAUCCUCCCCCUCUGCCCAUCCUCCAUCCAUCCAUCCAUCUUCCUUGCUAUCCAUCUUCUUCCUCCUCUGUCCAUCCCCCUCUGUUCCUCCUCCCCCUCUGUCCCUCCUUCCCCUCUGCCCACCCUCCAUCCAUCCAUCCUUCUUCCUUUCUAUCUGUCCUCUUCCCCCUCUGUCCAUCCCCCUCUGUUCCUCCUCCCGCUCUGUCCAUCCACCCCCUCUGCCCAUCCUCCAUCCAUCCAUCCUUCUUCCUUUCUAUCCAUCCUCUUCCCCCUCUGCCCAUGUCCCCCAUCUCUAUCCAUCCCCUGUCCCCUCUCAGGCCAUCGCUCUCUCUCUGUAUUCUCUCUAUCCAUCUCGCCUCUAUCAGCCUCCAUGUCUGUACCUACUCUGUCCAUCCCUCUCCCUCCCUUCAUCUGUCACUUCUAUUAAUCCCCUCUGUCUCAAGUGAGAAACUCCAGUGCCUUUAUAGGAGCCUAGAUCUAGGCCUGGAAGAGACCUUAGAGGCCAGCCCUCUCAUUUUAUAGAUGGGGAAACUGAGGCUAGGGAGGAUAAGUCAUUUGCCUAAGGUCACACUAAUAAUAAUCACCAAACCCAGCACCUAUGAUUCCAAAAGCAACAGUGUUUCUGCUGUAGUCUUUCAUUCAUAGCCUUGUACAGACUACCCUUCCUGUCGUCUUACCUUUUACUUCCUCCAUGCUCUUUGUGAUCUGUGAUUCUGUUCUACCUGCUGCUUCAGUCUCCCUGCCUCUGCCUUGCCUGUCCUCCAUACCCAGAAUACUUUUCUUCUUUCCCUCCAACUCUUAGAAUUCCUGAUUUGCCUCCUACAUGAAGCUUUUCCUCAUCUUCCCAGCUCCUAGUGCAUUCCUUUUCAAAACAACAUUGUAUUCAUUUUCUAUAUUUUUAAAAGUAUAUUUGUAUAUGCCCAUCUUGUUUCCUUUGUCGUUGGCAUGUAAGCUCUUCA